UACGGAGGGUGCGAGCGUUGUUCGGAAUUAUUGGGCGUAAAGCGCGUGUAGGCGGCUCCUUAAGUCUGAUGUGAAAGCCCCGGGCUCAACCUGGGAAGUGCAUUGGAAACUGGGGAACUUGAAUACGGGAGAGGGUAGUGGAAUUCCUGGUGUAGGAGUGAAAUCCGUAGAUAUCAGGAGGAACACCGGUGGCGAAGGCGGCUGCCUGGACCGAUAUUGACGCUGAGACGCGAAAGCGUGGGGAGCAAAC
rnacentral:rRNA from 1 species